CGCGUAGGUGGUUUGUUAAGUUGGAUGUGAAAUCCCCGGGCUCAACCUGGGAACUGCAUUCAAAACUGACUGACUAGAGUAUGGUAGAGGGUGGUGGAAUUUCCUGUGUAGCGGUGAAAUGCGUAGAUAUAGGAAGGAACACCAGUGGCGAAGGCGACCGCCUGGACUAAUACUGACACUGAGGUGCGAAAGCGUGGGGAGCAAACA
rnacentral:rRNA from 1 species